CAAUUACACGACGCCAUGUCAUCAUCAGCCAAGACCGAAUGUGGUGUUUCUCUGAUCGGUGAUCUCUCGCGCACACACCUUUUAGUUUAUCUCUCGUCCAAAGAAACAAACCCUAACUCUGUCAUGGAAGACUGGGAAGUGGUGAUCGAGAGCUCUGGAACUACUCAGGAGGAGGAGGAGGAGGAGGAUCCGAAGAGCUUGGAGGAGAUUGAAGAUGGCACGCAAGGUAUGGUUACCUUCGAUUACUUCUCUAUCGAGAACUCAAACUCAAACUCAAACUCAAACUGUGUGGGUCGCGUUGAUGCGAUUGAUGAAGAUGGGUCUGUCCAAUCGGGUAGUCCAGGCUGGAUCGAACCUACCUCCGACGCUCCUUAUGGCCCUAAGCUUUUUAGCGAGUUGUGGUCCGAUUCUAGCAGCGAUCGGCUCGAUGAUGUGAACAACGACGAGUUGGGUUUGGAGAAAUCAGAGGAAUACAGCAAAAGUAUAGCGAAAGAGAAGCACUUGGAUAAACAUACAGAGAGAGAGGAGGAAUCUCCAGUUUCAGUACAAGGAAAGUCUGUUUCUGGUGGUGGAGGAGAAGAAAGGGUUUUUGUGUGGUGGAAGAUUCCGAUUGACGUUUUGAAGUAUUGUGUUUUCAGAGUUAAUCCUCUUUGGUCUUUCUCCAUGGCAGCAGCAGUGGUUGGUUUUGUUAUGUUAGGGCGCAGGUUGUAUCAUAUGAAGAAGAGCAAGAGCUCUACCUUGCAGCUUAAGGUCCUCCUUGAUGAUAAGAAGGUGGCGAGUCAUGCUGCUCGGUUGAAUGAAGCAGCAAUCUCAUUGGUGAACCGUGCCCAUAAUCAGGCCAGCACUCCCAUCAUCGGUGGUGGGUAUGAACCAGUGGUCUAUGAUGAGUUUAAGGUGAAAUAUAAUGCAUAUAUAUGCAAGAUAAAUGAUUGAUGUGGUUGGCAUGUGUCAUAUGAUUGUGUUAUGUGACAAGUUUCAAAAUGGUACAAAAACAUACAAAAUAUGCUUCUAAGUUUGUACCGUGUGUGUGUAUAUAAAUAUUACCUGUUUGAUGUACAAAUUGGAUGGAAUGGUUUGAUGGUUACGAAAAUGUGAUGAACGGUAAGAUAUAACUACAAAAAAUCUUCUAAAAGGCA